rnacentral:tRNA from 4 species
GGCCAGGUAGCUCAGUCGGUAGAGCAGAGGACUGAAAAUCCUUGUGUCGGGGGUUCAAUUCCCUCCCUGGCCA